rnacentral:rRNA from 4 species
AGAGUUUGAUCAUGGCUCAGAUUGAACGCUGGCGGCAGGCCUAACACAUGCAAGUCGAGCGGUAACACAGAGAGCUUGCUCUCGGGUGACGAGCGGCGGACGGGUGAGUAAUGUCUGGGAAACUGCCUGAUGGAGGGGGAUAACUACUGGAAACGGUAGCUAAUACCGCAUAACGUCGCAAGACCAAAGUGGGGGACCUUCGGGCCUCAUGCCAUCAGAUGUGCCCAGAUGGGAUUAGCUAGUAGGUGGGGUAAUGGCUCACCUAGGCGACGAUCCCUAGCUGGUCUGAGAGGAUGACCAGCCACACUGGAACUGAGACACGGUCCAGACUCCUACGGGAGGCAGCAGUGGGGAAUAUUGCACAAUGGGCGCAAGCCUGAUGCAGCCAUGCCGCGUGUAUGAAGAAGGCCUUCGGGUUGUAAAGUACUUUCAGCGAGGAGGAAGGCAUUAAGGUUAAUAACCUUGGUGAUUGACGUUACUCGCAGAAGAAGCACCGGCUAACUCCGUGCCAGCAGCCGCGGUAAUACGGAGGGUGCAAGCGUUAAUCGGAAUUACUGGGCGUAAAGCGCACGCAGGCGGUCUGUCAAGUCGGAUGUGAAAUCCCCGGGCUCAACCUGGGAACUGCAUUCGAAACUGGCAGGCUAGAGUCUUGUAGAGGGGGGUAGAAUUCCAGGUGUAGCGGUGAAAUGCGUAGAGAUCUGGAGGAAUACCGGUGGCGAAGGCGGCCCCCUGGACAAAGACUGACGCUCAGGUGCGAAAGCGUGGGGAGCAAACAGGAUUAGAUACCCUGGUAGUCCACGCCGUAAACGAUGUCGACUUGGAGGUUGUGCCCUUGAGGCGUGGCUUCCGGAGCUAACGCGUUAAGUCGACCGCCUGGGGAGUACGGCCGCAAGGUUAAAACUCAAAUGAAUUGACGGGGGCCCGCACAAGCGGUGGAGCAUGUGGUUUAAUUCGAUGCAACGCGAAGAACCUUACCUACUCUUGACAUCCAGAGAACUUAGCAGAGAUGCUUUGGUGCCUUCGGGAACUCUGAGACAGGUGCUGCAUGGCUGUCGUCAGCUCGUGUUGUGAAAUGUUGGGUUAAGUCCCGCAACGAGCGCAACCCUUAUCCUUUGUUGCCAGCGAUUCGGUCGGGAACUCAAAGGAGACUGCCAGUGAUAAACUGGAGGAAGGUGGGGAUGACGUCAAGUCAUCAUGGCCCUUACGAGUAGGGCUACACACGUGCUACAAUGGCAUAUACAAAGAGAAGCGACCUCGCGAGAGCAAGCGGACCUCAUAAAGUAUGUCGUAGUCCGGAUUGGAGUCUGCAACUCGACUCCAUGAAGUCGGAAUCGCUAGUAAUCGUAGAUCAGAAUGCUACGGUGAAUACGUUCCCGGGCCUUGUACACACCGCCCGUCACACCAUGGGAGUGGGUUGCAAAAGAAGUAGGUAGCUUAACCUUCGGGAGGGCGCUUACCACUUUGUGAUUCAUGACUGGGGUGAAGUCGUAACAAGGUAACCGUAGGGGAACCUGCGGUUGGAUCACCU